ACGAACGCUGGCGGCAUGCCUAACACAUGCAAGUCGAACGAGACCUUCGGGUCUAGUGGCGCACGGGUGCGUAACGCGUGGGAAUCUGCCCUUGGGUUCGGAAUAACAGUUGGAAACGACUGCUAAUACCGGAUGAUGACGUAAGUCCAAAGAUUUAUCGCCCAAGGAUGAGCCCGCGUAGGAUUAGCUAGUUGGUGAGGUAAAGGCUCACCAAGGCGACGAUCCUUAGCUGGUCUGAGGGGAUGAUCAGCCACACUGGGACUGAGACACGGCCCAGACUCCUACGGGAGGCAGCAGUGGGGAAUAUUGGACAAUGGGCGAAAGCCUGAUCCAGCAAUGCCGCGUGAGUGAUGAAGGCCUUAGGGUUGUAAAGCUCUUUUACCCGGGAUGAUAAUGACAGUACCGGGAGAAUAAGCUCCGGCUAACUCCGUG
rnacentral:rRNA from 1 species